CAAAUCAAUUUCAUUCCGGUGUCUUCUACAACUUCUCCUUCCCUCCCUCCUCCCUGUGCUUGCUUGCUGUUCUUCUAUUCUUCUUCUCUCCUCUUCAUUGGCAAAAUCUCAAACAAAACUCUCAAAUAAUAAUUCAACAAGAACAAAAUCACGAGGAGCACACCUCCAGCAACUCAAUCACUAGCCUUUCGUGUUAUGCGAUUAUGUCAACCUUCAUUCCUCGUCGACACCGCUCUCCUUCUUGACCCCUCCGAUCUCAUCGUCGGUGAAGACAUCUUCGAAGACCCUGUUUUCUCCACUCACCUCCCUCUACUCAUCAAAUCCCACCUCUCCGACUCCUCUGAUCUUAGUUACCGCUCUCGAUUCCUCCUCCAUUCUUCCUUCGAUUCCUUCGGUCUCUCUGGCCUCCCCGUCCUCCCUCAGUCCUUCGGGUCCCACUCCUCCCCCCUCUCUCUAAAAUUUCUCCUUUUCUCUUGCUAAAACUAUCCUUUUUUAUUUUUUUGGGCGUAUGGCUAUUUAUUUGGGAGAGAUGUGUUGUAGUUACAUUAGCAUUAAUAAAAGUUAUAAUUUUGAAGUUAGAGAUGAUAUAAUUAAGGUUGGUUUGUACUGCAUUGUAUAGUGAUGGUAAUGGUGAAAGGAAGUAUCUUCCGCAGUUUUUCAAGUUUAUUGUUGCUAAUUCGCUUUCACGUAGGACUAAGGUCCGCGUUGUCAAGGUAAUGUUCAGCUUUUUUCUACUGUAA